AGUGAACGCUGGCGGCGUGCUUAACACAUGCAAGUCGAACGAGAACGGGUUAUAGCUUGCUAUAAUUGUCAGCUAAGUGGCGCACGGGUGAGUAAUGUAUAGGUAAUAUGCCUCUUACUAAGGGAUAACAAAUGGAAACGUUUGCUAAUACCUUAUACUCCUUAUUAACAUAAGUUAAUAAGGGAAAGAUUUAUUGGUAAGAGAUUAGCCUGUAUUGUAUCAGUUAGUUGGUGGGGUAAUGGCUUACCAAGACUAUGACACAUAACUGGUUUGAGAGUAUGAUCAGUCACGCUGGAACUGAGUCACAGUCCAGACUCCUACGGGAGGCAGCAGUUGUAAAUAAUGCACAGUGGACGAAAGGCUGAUGCAGCAACGCCGCGUUGAAGAUGACACAUUUCGGGGAGUAUACUCCUUUUAUAUGAGAAGAUAAUGACGGUAUUAUAUGAAUAAGCACCGGCUAACUCCGUGCCAUCCGCCACGGUAA
rnacentral:rRNA from 1 species